rnacentral:rRNA from 1 species
CCUACGGGUGUGCAGCAGUGGGGAAUAUUGGACAAUGGGCGAAAGCCUGAUCCAGCCAUGCCGCGUGUGUGAAGAAGGCCUUCGGGUUGUAAAGCACUUUCAGUGGGGAAGAAAGCCUUGGGGCUAAUACCCUCGAGGAAGGACAUCACCCACAGAAGAAGCACCGGCUAACUCCGUGCCAGCAGCCGCGGUAAUACGGAGGGUGCGAGCGUUAAUCGGAAUUACUGGGCGUAAAGCGCGCGUAGGCGGUCUGAUAAGCCGGUUGUGAAAGCCCCGGGCUCAACCUGGGAACGGCAUCCGGAACUGUCAGGCUAGAGUGCAGGAGAGGAAGGUAGAAUUCCCGGUGUAGCGGUGAAAUGCGUAGAGAUCGGGAGGAAUACCAGUGGCUAAGGCGGCCUUCUGGACUGACACUGACGCUGAGGUGCGAAAGCGUGGGUAGCAAACAGGAUUAGAUACCCGAGUAGUC